rnacentral:tRNA from 1 species
ACUCUAAUAGUUUAUAAAAACAUUGGUCUUGUAAACCAAAAGAUGAAGACUACCUCUUCUUAGAGUU